GGGUCUCGUUAAACUCAAGGCAGCGUCAGAGAGGGAGAUCCCUUUCCUCAGCCCGCGGUAGCAAUGAGCGGACUGUGCAAGCCUGUAGUUAUGGGACUCAUAUUGCUGAUCUGCAGUACUACCAGCCACUGUGAGGAGAGCGCGCCAGCCACGGCUCCCACGGUCGCGAGGAACGACAAGAGCCUACUCAGGCGGAUUGCAGACAUAGUGAAGCACGUGGAGGAGAGCCGCGGUGAGAACGGCACGAACGCAGCAUCACAGUCGACUUCUAGGAGAGAAUCCCCAGUUGAGACAAAAAGGGAUUUACGAAACCUCAAAACAGAUAGUGGCGAUCAAAUUAUUGGUGAGUUCGCACAUUGACAGCUGGGCGUUACCAUGAACUCCAAAAUAUGUUGUAUAACAGUCUUAAGUGGUGGGGUAAAAAGACCACCACGGAAUGUAACGCGCUAUGAGGGUACUGGGUGCACAUCAUUCAAAUAUGUUAUGCCUGGGGAAUUUUGAAGUUGCUGAAUCUUAAGAAAGUGAUUUACAUUUGACAUGUUAGUCAUUUAGCAGAUGCUCUUACCCAGAGCGACUUAGAGUUAGAAACACACUUUGAUCUCCUGUUCUCACCCCCUGCCUUCUUUUUUGUCUUUCAGAAAUAUUUCCUAGAGAUCUCAGAAAGAAAGAAAAGUUUUUAAAACACUUAACAGGUGAGAUAUACAUCAUAUGAUGUGUGUGUGUGUGUGUGUGUGUGUGUGUGUGUGUGUGUGUGUGUGUGUGUGUGUGUGAGAGAGAAAGAGAGAGAGAGAGAUUUGAGUGCGGUGGGUCAGGAUGUAAAGGACAAGAAAGGGAGAGAAAGGUGAUAGUAGUUGGACUGCUCAGCUUUCAUUCAAAGGCUUUCUCUGUCCCUCAGGUCCUCUGUAUUUCAAUCCCAAAUGCAGGAAGCACGUAUACAGACUAUAUCACAACACCAGAGACUGCACAAUACCUGCAUACUUCAAAAGAUGCGCACGGCUUCUCACACGCUUAGCAGGGAGCCCACGAUGUACAGAAGGGUAGCAGAAAUCAAGUUGAAGCCAAACCAGAGCUGUCCAGAAGACAGAGCCCUGAAAAAAAGUGCCUUAGACAACAACAGGGAAACCAAACAAAGUGGAACCAGUCACGUCCACCAUUACGCAGUGUCCGUCACCAGAGUUCACUAUUUUACAAAGGCAUGGAUUACCACCCACAGGCCUGCCUGGACCCGACAGUCUGUGGUCACUGCGGGUCUUGACAAGAGACUAUACAGAAGAUACAGAAGGUGAAGGGGGAAAACAUGGCAGCAACCACAGAUUUCGGGGUUAUUAUUGUCCUGCUGGCUGGACAAACUCUACUUUCUUCUUUCUUUCUUGGUUUUUACCAAAAGAGAAAAGGGAUUGCUUUUGUUUGUUUUUAACCCCCCCCCCCNNNNNNNNNNCCACUUGUUGUUGAUUCUUCACAAAAAAAUACAGUUUUAUAUCUUUAUGUUUGAAGCCUGAAAUGUGGCAAAAGGUCGCAAAGUUCAAGGGGGCCGAAUACUUUCGCAAGGCACUGUAUAUGUACGUUUAUUUAUUUUCCCUUUUGUACUUUAACUAUUUGCACAUCAUUACAACACUGUGUAUAGACAUAAUAUGACAUUUGAAAUGCCUUUGUUCUUUUGGAACUUUUGUAAGUGUGAUGUUUACUGUACAUUUUUUAUUGUUUAUUACACUUUUGUUUAUUAUCUAUUUCACUUGCUUUGGCAAUGUAAACAUAUAUUUCCCAUUUCAAUAAAGCCCAUUAAAUUGAAAUGGAAUUGAGAGAGAGAGAGAGAGAGAGAGANNNNNNNNNNNNNNNNNNNNNNNNNNNNNNNNNNNNNNNNNNNNNNNNNNNNNNNNNNNNNNNNNNNNNNNNNNNNNNNNNNNNNNNNNNNNNNNNAAAAAAACAACAACAACAACAACAACAAUUGGAAUCAAUCAAAUCCUCUGGUUGGGUUGCGUCAUGCCUUUUUAGGUUGUAUUUCUGUUGUGGUUCGGCGUCAUACCUUCGUCAGCAGCACUACCUAUUAGUGGAUAUAAGGCUAUCUCGGACAUUCUCUCACCUACCUGUGACCACACUGAAACGUAUGAUUCAAUUAUUCACUGCAUGACAAUUUCCUUGCCUUUUGUCUUUGUAAGACAUGUAUUAAAACAAGAGACACUAUAUAUUAGGCACUGGUUGCAGUCAGAAGUUGUGUGUAAGAAGAAACCCUCCUGUGAGUCUGAGUGUGGUACACAGUAUAUUUAUAUAUUCAAGUUGUCAUAUGUUUUCCUCUGUAUACAUACAGUAUGUGUAAACAUUCUAACCUGAGUGCAAUAUGUACAUAUUGUAAAAAGCAUAAAAGGAAUCCACAUAACAACCAUAAAUGAAAGUGUUUGACGUAUAUUAACUUGGUGUUAAAAAAUAUAUAUCAAAAACAUGAAAUAUAUUUAAAUAAAUUAUAAGAUUGGUACAAACAUGAGCGGCCUCUCUCUGUUGUUUCUUAAAGUACGUGGUGUUGUUCAUCACUGACUAUAACAGGCAAUAUGAUUCAAUUGGAAUCUAUAGGAAUCCAGUAGGUUGCACAGGUCUCUGGCUUCCUUACAGGUCUAGAUUAAUGCACUGAACUUAAAUAUAAAUGCAACAUGUUAAUUAAGUGUUGGUCCCAUGUUUCAUGAGCUGAAAUAAAAGAUCACAGAAAUUGUUGUGCACAGAUUUGUUUACAUCCCUGUUAGUGUGCAUUUUCUCCUUUGCCAAGAUAAUCCAUCCACCUGACAGGUGCGGCAUAUCAAGAAGCUGAUUAAACAGCAUGAUCAUUACACAGGUACACCUUGUGCUGGGGACAAUAAAAUAAAUGUGCAGUUUUGUCACACAACACAAUAGGUGCCUCAGGUUUUUAGGGAAUUUGCAUGCUGACUGCAGGAAUGUCCACCAGAGCUGUUGCCAGAGAAUUGAUUGUUAAUUUCUCAACCAUAAGCCAACUAAGCCACCCAAGAUCAUUUUUCAGAAAUUGGCAGCAUGUCCAACCGGCCUCAAAACCGCAGACCACCUGUAACCACGCCAGCCCAGGAACUCUACAUCCCACUCCUUCACCUGCGGGAUCGUCUGAGACCAGCCACCUGGACAGCUGAAGAAACUGUGGGCUGGAACAAACAAAGGAUUUCU
rnacentral:lncRNA from 13 species